CUCUGCUCCGCUCCUUUUCCUCAGGGAGUCAGGGGUCUCGGUGGCCUGCGCCUCGCCCUCUCCUUCCUCGCGAUUGCGGAACUCUUCCUCCUUCUUCUCCUGUCCCUCGAUUCCUUGUUCCAUCGAAUCGCGCUCUGCCUCGAUUUGAUGUUUGCUCCUCGUCGCCUCUGCCUUCCAGCUCCCGCAGAUUCCUCGGCCUGCCACCCCGCGGCUCCUCGAAGGAUCGGAUUCGAUUGGAUCAUCAUGGAGAAGAAUCGGAUUCGAUCGGCGUCUCUGGAUCGACCAAGUUUAUCUGGUUUGCGACCUCUUGUUUUCCUGAGAGUGGUUCCUGCAUAUCUAGUUUCGAUUUGGAUCGCUCGUGUUCCCUCGUCGGUUGCAGGAUUGGAUUUAGUUUUGCAAUUAAUUGGACCUCCCGAGUAGCAAGGCGCUCAAGGGAGAUUGAGGGUCGAGGCAGGUCAGUUUCUCGUGCUCGGUGAGAUUAGUUCAUUGGUUCCGUCACCCUGCCCCUGUGGAUUUCAGAUUCCGAUCCAACCGAUUCUGGAUUCAUGUUGCUGAGCCCCCCUGCAGCCCUGCCUAUGGAUCAUCAUGAAUUCCGUCGUCCGUGGACCCGAGGUGGAUUCGAGGCCCUUGGUCGAUUUCCUAUUGUAUCAGCUAACCUCGUUUGUGGGAUUUGUUCGUCGGCCCCUUCUUUAGAUGCAGCAGCAGGGUGGUGAACGUUCUGGAGAGAUGAAUCCAAUCAUGGAGGAGGUUUGCUCUGCUAUGUCCCACGGUUAUUUCGAUUGGUUAUUGUUCAACUACUUCUAUUUUGGUAUGGUCAGAUGUCCCGGGUUGAAGCUGGAUUGUUGGGAAUUGGAUUUGUGUUUGGAUAUUUCUUCUUACCUUCUCGAAUUAAUUCCCUACUUCGCGUUAGUAUCCGUCAGUUCUGACUUUGGGACUGUUGCUGGUUCUCCGGAGAUUGGAAUUGUGUACGGAUCGGACUGGUGAUCAUAGGAUUGGGGAUCUUCAAUUCUGCGUUUGGAUAAUCAACCCCUCUCAAAACUCAAUUUCCUCUGUAAUUUGAAAUUUCCAUCGAAUCUAACUUGGGACUCUUCUGGUUCUCCAGAAAUUAUAAUUUGGAUUGUGGACUCGUGAUCAGGAGUGGGGAACCUCCGUUCUGCCUUCGGAUAAUGAGCCCUCUCUCAGACUCAGUUUACUCCCGUGUAGUUCGAUUUGGUUUCCCCACAAUUCUGAUUUGGGGUUUCUGCUGGCCUCCAGAAAUUGGAAUUAUACGUCUUAUCGGAAGCCAGGGAGGUCUAUUUUGGUUCAGCAUGCUGCAGCGGUUCCUUAAUUGACCUUUCUUCUCAGACUUAAUUCUUCGAUAAUACAUCAGUUAUCUCCCUUCAGUAACCUUAAGCUCUUGCAGAUAUGGCCACGGGAGAUAAUUUGCUCUUUCGUCGAACCCUGCCAUCGUCUGCCUGAUCCCUGCCUAUGCCUGAUUCACUAAUAGCCCAAACAGAGUUUGAUGAAUACUUUUUUUAAUUCUCUUAUAAGCUCUAGCCCCCUCAACUGAAAAUUCAUAGGAAGGUCUCUUGCUUGCUCGUUGCAGGUUCUAGUUGCCGAAUUCAAGUCGGACCUGAUGCUGAGUACACCCUGUUUGAGGAUAUUUUAAAAUCUACUCACCUUUUCAAUUCAUCAUAACUUUCCUAGCGAUAAAAUCAUCUUACAGAACAAUAUUUGAACAUUCAGAUUGAUAUGCACCCUGAGGUUGAUCUGGAGCUUCAAACUAACGCCAUCCUACAACUGAGAAAACACCGUUCUCUCUUUCAAUUUCUAUCGCUCUUAUUUGUGUUUGUUUAUUUUGGUUAGUUACCUCUGUUCGUAGCUUUGAUUAAGGUUUACCGUUUCUGCCCAACAUGUUGCAGAUCCUUUUUACCCCGGACAUGCCUGGCAGUGGCCUGAAAUAUGUUAAAUCGUUUGGUUUGCUGUCUAUCCCUUUGUAGUUUUAUUCGUUGUAUGUACUUCCGAUCAUGUGGUCUGUAUAAGUCUGCUAUGUGUAGCUAUGCAUCUUGGCUGCAGGAUAUAAGUGGGGAGUUUUGGACCUACCUGGGUUUUGUAAGUGGAGUAAGGUUAGUGUCCCGUGGGAGGUCUUUUCGGUUCAUUUGUGUUCGCCUCGACGAUGCAUUGGUUGCAGGAGUGUGGAUCUUAUUUGGAACUAGAGAUUAGUCAUCACAUGGUGAAGAACCUGAGGAGGUCAGUUUCCCGUGCUCCAUCAGAUCAGUUUGUUGGUUGUGUGUUACCUGCUUUCGGUGGUUACAGAUUAAUAUAUAUUAGCUGUGUUACCUGCUCAAGGAGAUUAGUCUGGAUUCCGUGGCGUUCUCUUCUGAUGGCUGGUCAUGUCCCUUGAUCUGAGUUUGAUUUGAGGCACUGUGUUGAUUAUAUUAUAUUGUAACAGCUGAUCUCGCUUCUGGUAUUUGUUUGUGCUCCUUGAGAUGCACAGGAAGGGGCAAGUGGUUGUUGAUAGAUAAAUUGGAGGAUGGAGGUUUGCUUUACUGCUCAAUGGCUAACUUGGUUUGUUAUGGUUCAAUGGUUAUUUUGGUUUGGUCAGAUACUCUGAGUUGAAGUUAUGUGGUAGAAGCUGGGUUGGAUCUGUGAUCAUUCGUAUCAGGAAACUUUUGACUGUGUUUGGAUAAUCAACUCUCCUCAAUUUAAUCAUUUUGUCUGCACAAUUCAAUUUAGUGCACACUAAGUCUGAUUUGUAUCAUUGGUUCUUCUCUAGAAUUGGAGAAUUAUGUGCGGCUGGGCGGGAUUUCCGGUUUUCCUUUUUGUGACCUCACAUCUUUUGAACUCCUCAACUAUUUUACUGUUGAGACAAAAGUUUUAUCUGCCUUCGUUGGUAAUUCUAUGUUUUUGCAGACUUCCAUUUGAACGGUUUGUAACCAGUGGACCUGAUUUCUCCCAGUCUAAUCUGAAUGAGGCUUACCCCUACCACUCAGGCGUUUGGAUAAUCAACCCCACUCCAUUAAUUUAAACUAACUAUUUAGUUCAGUUAAUCGCAGAGUAGUCUUAUUUUGUUUUGUUGGUGGUUCCCAGAAUUUGGAAUUAUACUCAGCAGAACUGCGGGAAUCCACCUUGCGGACUUACCUUCUUGGUGAUCUAUGUUUGGAUAAUCAACCUAUCUAGAUUUAAAAGAAUCAUCUAUUUAAAAUUUAGUCUCCUUCUGAUUUUGAGUUAUUGGUGAUUCCCAGAAAUUGCUAUUGGCGGGCGGUUUUCUCUGGCAUGAUGGUUCCUUGUUUUAACUAAACUUUGCCGUCUUUCCUUCUUUUACAGCUGAACGUUCCUGAUACCAGUUUUUUCUGCCUUACUCUAUCAAUCCUCAGCUCUUGCAGAUGCUGACUCAAAAGUGAUAAUUUGCAAUUGGGACCCGUUGUUGCCUAGCUGAACCUUACCAACCGAGACAGGCUACCCUUUACCCACUCAUCAUCAUCAUCAUCACUUGAUGCAUGCUUUAGUUUGUUUAAUGAAAAGUUUAUGGAAAUUCCUCUUGCUCGAUGCAGGUUCUGGAUUCGUAGUCGAUGAGAGUACAAAUCAACAUGUUAAUGAGUUUUAAUCUGUUUACAGAGCUUCUUAAUCUACUAUCUUUUCAAUUCAUCAUAAGAUAAAUAACCUAUCUUACAUGGAGUAAUAUUCUAAAUUCAGAUUGAUCUGGAAAGGUGCAUGAAUCUAAGGAUAAUCUGGAACUUAAAAGGAGUAGCACAUCCUACAACCGACUAAGACUUAUUGAUCUCUUACACUCCUCAUUUGAAAGCCUAUAACUUACUUCUUCUGUCUUUAUGUUAUUUAGCUGUUUUUCCAUCCAUGUCUUUGAUUUAGGUUUUGCUUCUACCCUUCCUAUGGUUGCAGAUUUGUUUUCCCUGAGGCUGUGCUGGUAGUGACUGAAAAUCUGUUAAAUCGUUUGGUUUGCAAUCUAUCGUCCAUCUUUCUGUUCGAUUCGGUUUCUGUCUUUCCAUGUGCUUUUGGCCGUCUGCAUGUGUUGACUACAGGAUUUAGUUAGGAGUUGGAUUACCCUUAGGGAAGAAAAUAAAUCUACGGGGAGCCAGGUCAGUGUUUUGCGGAUGUUCUGUUUGGUUCAUUUUGUGUCCGCCUCCACGAGUUGGCUGCAGGACUGGAUCUGGUCUGGAACUUGAGCCCUCUACGGCAAAGGGUGGUUACUUUGGUGGUUAUGGCCCGUUGUUUAUGUGAUCUUGUCGAAACUUGUGAGCUGCUGGAUUGGAUUGCUGAUAAUGGGAUGGAACCAGAGAAGUUACAUAUUGUGUUGGGAUAAUUAGUCCUUCUGAAUUUAAUUUCUUUCUCAAUUGAGUGUACACCAAUUCCAAUUCUGAAAUGGAUUGUUGGUUCUCCAGAUAUUGGACUUGCACAACUUGGCGAAGGUGCCCUAUUUUGCUUCAUCAUGUUAUCGGUGGUUCCUUCUUUUUUUACUUGAACAAACUUCAGCAACUUCUUUUCAUAAUUAACGUCCUAGUUAUGACUUCCUAUCCCUUCACUCGCAAUUAUGUGCUCUCGCAGAUGUUAAAAUGGAGGAUUUCAUUCUGGAACCAAAGGGUUGUUGUCUAUCUCCCAGCUGAGCAAGCUUAUCCUAUUCCCUCAAUAUUUGAUGCAUGAACAAAAAAUGUACAGUAAUGUCUUAGGUCCAACCUGAUGUUGUGUUAUAUAUUUUUGGAGAUCUUAAUCCACUACCUUCUCAAUUCACAACAACUUUUUAAACGGGUUUUAUAAGUGUCUCACCGAGAGGCAAUAUUUGGACAUUCAGAUUGAAUUGUGGAGGUACAGUGAUUCUGAGGAUGCUUUGGAGUUUCAAUUAGAUGGCUCAUCCUACAAGAGAAAAACUAAGUGCUCUCUAUCUACACUACCUUUGAAGUUCUUUUCUUGACUAUGGAUUGUUCUUCUGUUUGAUUUCACCCCAAAGUGCAUUUGCACGGUAAAUGAUAGCAGGGUACUUGCGGAUGUCGAUCUGAUAUGCAUUAUGGAAGAAUGUGUUGGUGGUUCUUAGUGCAAAGAGAGUUGGAAGAUCUAGCAAUGGGGGUCUUUUUGUGAAGCUUCAAGCCAUCAACUAUGCCUGUUUUCCCAACUGUUCUGACUUCUAAUCAAAAAAUCUUGAAGCAUAUUAUUACUUGAUUUCAUCUUCUGCGGCAGCUUACAGUUUCAACUUUCAAAUUUCAACUUGCAUUCAGUGGCCUCAUCUCUUUGGUACAGCUUGAAGUCUUUAGUUGCGUGCACAUCUGGAUCUUCUGAUUAGUAACCCUGAAGUUUAUAUUGGUCUCUGUUGUGUUGCAACUUUGUUUGGAUGGAAUCUGUUCUCAUCUGUUUUUUUGUCUGGCCCGACAUAGGAGAUGCGAGAAUUCACUUAGAAGUCUUUACUUUGUUACCAUGUUUGUUUCUAGAAGUUGGGUUUCAUACCAAUAUCUUCAGUUUUAUCAAUGCACUCAGCUGUGUUUUAUUUCUCUAGCAGAUAGGAAGUCAGAUUGCAUGUACAUGAGCUCUGAAGGCAGUAAAAGAUCCCUACAGUUAUAUACGUGAAUUAUUUUGAGAUGAUGUCUGGAUUUGCUGGUUU